AAAGUCGUAACAAGGUCUCCGUUGGUGAACCAGCGGAGGGAUCAUUACCGAGUUUGCUUUUCUAGCUCGAAACCCACUGUGAACAUACCUCUUAUAUCGUUGCUUCGGCGGCAGUUCCCCGAUACUCCUCCCUCUUCUGGGAGGGGCUUCGAGGUCCAGCCGUCGGAGGGACGCAACCAAAAACUCUUUCUUACUUUCAAGUAUUAUCUGAGUCGAUAUUUUAAUUAUCAAAACUUUCAGCAACGGAUCUCUUGGUUCUG
rnacentral:misc_RNA from 1 species